UACGGGGGGGGCAAGCGUUGUUCGGAAUUACUGGGCGUAAAGGGCUCGUAGGCGGCCAACUAAGUCAGACGUGAAAUCCCUCGGCUUAACCGGGGAACUGCGUCUGAUACUGGAUGGCUUGAAUCCGGGAGAGGGAUGCGGAAUUCCAGGUGUAGCGGUGAAAUGCGUAGAUAUCUGGAGGAACACCGGUGGCGAAGGCGGCAUCCUGGACCGGCAUUGGCGCUGAGGAGCGAAAGCCAGGGGAGCAAACGGG
rnacentral:rRNA from 1 species